rnacentral:rRNA from 1 species
GACGAACGCUGGCGGCGUGCUUAACACAUGCAAGUCGAACGGAAAGGCCCUGCUUUUGUGGGGUGCUCGAGUGGCGAACGGGUGAGUAACACGUGAGUAACCUGCCCUUGACUUUGGGAUAACUUCAGGAAACUGGGGCUAAUACCGGAUAGGAGCUCCUGCUGCAUGGUGGGGGUUGGAAAGUUUCGGCGGUUGGGGAUGGACUCGCGGCUUAUCAGCUUGUUGGUGGGGUAGUGGCUUACCAAGGCUUUGACGGGUAGCCGGCCUGAGAGGGUGACCGGCCACAUUGGGACUGAGAUACGGCCCAGACUCCUACGGGAGGCAGCAGUGGGGAAUAUUGCACAAUGGGCGGAAGCCUGAUGCAGCAACGCCGCGUGCGGGAUGACGGCCUUCGGGUUGUAAACCGCUUUCGCCUGUGACGAAGCGUGAGUGACGGUAAUGGGUAAAGAAGCACCGGCUAACUACGUGCCAGCAGCCGCGGUGAUACGUAGGGUGCGAGCGUUGUCCGGAUUUAUUGGGCGUAAAGGGCUCGUAGGUGGUUGAUCGCGUCGGAAGUGUAAUCUUGGGGCUUAACCCUGAGCGUGCUUUCGAUACGGGUUGACUUGAGGAAGGUAGGGGAGAAUGGAAUUCCUGGUGGAGCGGUGGAAUGCGCAGAUAUCAGGAGGAACACCAGUGGCGAAGGCGGUUCUCUGGGCCUUUCCUGACGCUGAGGAGCGAAAGCGUGGGGAGCGAACAGGCCUAGAUACCCUGGUAGUCCACGCUGUAAACGGUGGGUACUAGGUGUGGGGUCCAUUCCACGGGUUCCGUGCCGUAGCUAACGCUUUAAGUACCCCGCCUGGGGAGUACGGCCGCAAGGCUAAAACUCAAAGGAAUUGACGGGGCCCCGCACAAGCGGCGGAGCAUGCGGAUUAAUUCGAUGCAACGCGUAGAACCUUACCUGGGUUUGACAUGGAUCGGGAGCGCUCAGAGAUGGGUGUGCCUCUUUUGGGGUCGGUUCACAGGUGGUGCAUGGCUGUCGUCAGCUCGUGUCGUGAGAUGUUGGGUUAAGUCCCGCAACGAGCGCAACCCUUGUUCACUGUUGCCGGCACGUUAUGGUGGGGACUCAGUGGAGACCGCCGGGGUCAACUCGGGGGAAGGUGGGGAUGACGUCAAGUCAUCAUGCCCCUUAUGUCCAGGGCUUCACGCAUGCUACAAUGGCUGGUACAGAGAGUGGCGAGCCUGUGAGGGUGAGCGAAUCUCGGAAAGCCGGUCUCAGUUCGGAUUGGGGUCUGCAACUCGACCUCAUGAAGUCGGAGUCGCUAGUAAUCGCAGAUCAGCAACGCUGCGGUGAAUACGUUCCCGGG